rnacentral:misc_RNA from 1 species
GUAGUCUUGAUGAAGCACUCCACGGUAAGUAUAUUGGAAUUCGUGACCUGCAUUUAUGUGCCUCUUAUCAGUUCCAAUGCUCAUAAGCAUGUUAGCCCUCUUAAUUUUGACAUAUUCUGGACAGGACCUAGCAAACAGAUAUGGUAAUUAAUAUGACAAUUAGAAGAGUGAUGUUAUAUGUUGGGAGACUUAGAUCAUAAUCCUGCUUGGUGCUCUUUGACUUUUAUU